rnacentral:rRNA from 1 species
GAAUGGCUCAUUAAAUCAGUUAUCGUUUAUUUGAUAGUACCUUACUACUUGGAUAACCGUGGUAAUUCUAGAGCUAAUACAUGCUGAAAACCCCGACUUCGGGAGGGGUGUAUUUAUUAGAUAAAAAACCAAUGCCCUUCGGGGCUCCUUGGUGAUUCAUGAUAACUCAACGGAUCGCAUGGCCUUGCGCCGGCGACGGUUCAUUCAAAUUUCUGCCCUAUCAACUUUCGAUGGUAAGGUAUUGGCUUACCAUGGUUUCAACGGGUAACGGGGAAUUAUGGGUUCGAUUCCGGAGAGGGAGCCUGAGAAACGGCUACCACAUCCAAGGAAGGCAGCAGGCGCGCAAAUUACCCAAUCCCGACUCGGGGAGGUAGUGACAAUAAAUACUGAUACAGGGCUCUUUUGGGUCUUGUAAUCGGAAUGAGUACAAUUUAAACCCCUUAACAAGGAACAAUUGGAGGGCAAGUCUGGUGCCAGCAGCCGCGGUAAUUCCAGCUCCAAUAGCGUAUAUUAAAGUUGUUGCAGUUAAAAAGCUCGUAGUUGAACCUUGGGCCUGGCUGGCCGGUCCGCCUCACCGCGUGUACUGGUCCGGCCGGGCCUUUCCUUCUGGAGAUCCCCAUGCCCUUUACUGGGUGUGCGGGGGAACCAGGACUUUUACUUUGAAAAAAUUAGAGUGUUCAAAGCAGGCCUUUGCUCGGAUACGUUAGCAUGGAAUAAUAGAAUAGGACGUGCGGUCCUAUUUUGUUGGUUUCUAGGACCGCCGUAAUGAUUAAUAGGGAUAGUCGGGGGCAUCAGUAUUCAAUUGUCAGAGGUGAAAUUCUUGGAUUUAUUGAAGACUAACUACUGCGAAAGCAUUUGCCAAGGAUGUUUUCAUUAAUCAGUGAACGAAAGUUAGGGGAUCGAAGACGAUCAGAUACCGUCGUAGUCUUAACCGUAAACUAUGCCGACUAGGGAUCGGGCGAUGUUUCUUUCUUGACUCGCUCGGCACC